UUUGGCAUUUCUUGUUCGCUUUUCAAGCACGUGUCUCAAAAAACGUUCAUUGUUUUUUUUUUUUUUUCUUUCUUGCAUGAUCAUUUUUUUGGUUAAAAUCUUUUAUUAAUAACAGCAACAAUUAUUAGUCAAUUAGUAGUUAAUUUAUCAUAAAUAAUUAAUAUUUGAUAUAAAUAAUGGAUAUUGAUAUAAAAAAUAUUGCGGUCAAUGGAGAAUCGCAGGAAAAAAUGGCUUGUUCAAAUUGUGGCUGUAGUGAAUUGGUACCUGUUAAUGACACUAUCAAAGCUGAUGAUAUGACAUCGAAAGAUUAUUAUUUUGAUUCAUAUGGACAUUAUGGAAUCCACGAAGAAAUGCUGAAAGAUGAAGUCAGAACAAAAGCAUAUAAAAACGCUGUCAUGAUGAAUAGACAUUUAUUUAAAAAUAAAGUUGUUCUGGAUGUUGGCUGUGGAACAGCAAUCUUAUGUAUGUUUGCAAUCAAAGCCGGUGCCAAACAUGCCAUUGGAAUCGAAUGCAGUUCAAUCAUCGACGUAGCACGAAAAAUUGUUGCUGACAAUAACAUGUCUGACAAAAUUACAUUGAUCAAAGGCAAAGCAGAAGAAAUUGAAUUGCCAGCUGAAUAUCCCAAAGUAGACAUCAUCAUUUCUGAAUGGAUGGGCUAUUGUCUAUUUUAUGAAUUGAUGUUGAGUACGGUGAUUUAUGCCCGUGACAAAUGGCUGGCUCCAAACGGUAUGAUAUUUCCAGACAAAGCUCGCCUGUACAUUACAGCUAUUGAAGAUCAUCAGUACAAAGAUGAAAAAAUUAAUUGGUGGGAUAAUGUUUAUGGCUUUAACAUGAGCGCCGUUCGUGAUCUUGUAAUCAGUGAACCAUUAGUUGAUCUAGUUGAACCAAAUCAAAUUGUGACCAAUUAUUAUAAAGUAAAAGAAGUUGAUCUUUACACGGUCACCAUUGAUGAUCUCACAUUUGAAUCGAAUUUCAGUCUGAUCGCAAAACGUAGCGAUCAUGUCCAUGCAUUGGUAACAUUCUUUUCGAUAGAAUUUAGCAAAUCCCUCAAAACUAUUGGAUUUUCUACUUCACCGGAACAUCGUACGACGCAUUGGAAACAAACCAUAUUUUAUAUUGAUGAUUAUAUGACCAUUGCAAAUGGGGAAGAAAUCGUUGGAACAUUCUACAUGGCUCCAAAUCUCAAAAAUAGACGUGAUAUGGAUAUCAAAAUACACGUUGAUCAUCGUGGUGAAUUGGAACAAUACAAUAAUAGUUUUUUGUAUAAAAUGCGCUAAAUGAAAAUUGUUUAAAUAACGAAUCAAUGCCACUAUUGCUGGUAAUGAAUUUUUUUAAAAUUUUUUUCGAACCUGGACCAAACUUGAUUGACUCCGAUGAACCUAGCAUGGUAACCUGAUCCACGUCAUUAUAAUCAAUACAUUCAAAUUCCAGACUACCUUCAUGCGGCCAUUCGAGUGUUAUUCCAUAGAUUGCAUCAGAUUUCAUUGUAUAAAAUGUUUGAUUAUUCUUUGAUAUUUGA